rnacentral:rRNA from 1 species
AGAGUUUGAUCCUGGCUCAGGAUGAACGCUAGCGGCGCGCUUGAUCCAUGCAAGUCGAACGAACCUACAAUCUUCGGAAAGUAGGUUAGUGGCGAACGGGUGAGUAACACGUUGGUGACCUGCCCCUGAGUGGGGGAUAACUAUUCGAAAGGGUAGCUAAUCCCGCAUAAGUUCCGGCAUUCGUUUGCCGGAGGAAAGGCUUCGGCCGCUCGGGGAGGGGCCUGCGUUGGAUUAGCUUGUUGGUGGGGUAACGGCCUACCAAGGCGAUGAUCCAUAGGGGGCGUGAGAGCGUGGCCCCCCACACUGGCACUGAGACACGGGCCAGACUCCUACGGGAGGCAGCAGGAAGGAAUCUUGCGCAAUGGGCGAAAGCCAGACGCAGCGACGCCGCGUGGGUGAUGAAGGCCUUCGGGUUGUAAAGCCCUUUUCCGAGGGAAGAGAAGGGACGGUACCUCGGGAAUAAGCCUCGGCUAACUACGUGCCAGCAGCCGCGGUAAUACGUAGGAGGCGAGCGUUAUCCGGAUUUACUGGGCGUAAAGAGCGCGCAGGCGGUUGUGCAAGUCGUGCGUGAAAGCUCCCGGCUCAACUGGGAGACGUCGUGCGAUACUGCAUAGCUAGAGGUCAGAAGAGGAGAGCGGAAUUCCCGGUGUAGCGGUGAAAUGCGUAGAUAUCGGGAGGAACACCAGUGGCGAAGGCGGCUCUCUGGUCUGCACCUGACGCUGAGGCGCGAAAGCGUGGGUAGCGAUCGGGAUUAGAUACCCCGGUAGUCCACGCCGUAAACGAUGGAUGCUAGGUGUUGGUGGUAUCGACCCCAUCGGCGCCGUAGCUAACGCGUUAAGCAUCCCGCCUGAGGAUUACGGCCGCAAGGCUAAAACUCAAAUGAAUUGACGG